GUCCAGACUCCUACGGGAGGCAGCAGUGGGGGAUAUUGCACAAUGGGGGAAACCCUGAUGCAGCGACGCCGCGUGAGUGAAGAAGUAUUUCGGUAUGUAAAGCUCUAUCAGCAGGGAAGAAAAUGACGGUACCUGAGUAAGAAGCCCCGGCUAACUACGUGCCAGCAGCCGCGGUAAUACGUAGGGGGCAAGCGUUAUCCGGAUUUACUGGGUGUAAAGGGAGCGUAGACGGCCAGACAAGUCUGAAGUGAAAAUCCAGCGCUUAACGUUGGAAGUGCUUUGGAAACUGCCGGGCUGGAGUGCAGGAGGGGCAGGCGGAAUUCCUAGUGUAGCGGUGAAAUGCGUAGAUAUUAGGAGGAACACCAGUGGCGAAGGCGGCCUGCUGGACUGCAACUGACGUUGAGGCUCGAAGGCGUGGGGAGCAAACAGGAUUAGAUACCCUAGUAA
rnacentral:rRNA from 1 species